UACGGGGGGGGCAAGCGUUGUUCGGAAUUACUGGGCGUAAAGGGCUCGUAGGCGGCCAACUAAGUCGGAUGUGAAAUCCCCAGGCUUAACCUGGGAACUGCAUCCGAUACUGGUUGGCUUGAAUCCGGGAGAGGGAUGCGGAAUUCCAGGUGUAGCGGUGAAAUGCGUAGAUAUCUGGAGGAAUACCGGUGGCGAAGGCGGCAUCCUGGACCGACAUUGACGCUGAGGAGCGAAAGCUAGGGGAGCAAACAGG
rnacentral:rRNA from 1 species